AUACCAAGAAAUCAACUCUCAGCCGCAUCAUUUCUUGAUUCUAUCUUCUUUCAGCAAGCUAAGCAUUUUUCCUCCUGCCUGGCUUUAUAUAUAAUUCAUAUCGUUUUCCAUCCGUAUUGCUUGUGUGCAUCACCUUCUUACUAAUAUUUCAUGGAAGCAACUGCAACAAUCAAAGUGUCGUUUGCUUACAAUAGCAAUGGUUUUUCCCACUCACCAUUAAAGCUCGUCAAUCCACUGCUUCCAUCUGGUAUGAAUACUGUAUUACACUUUGUUUUAGGUUAAAUUCUGCUCAUGAUGUUAGGCAGGAUCAUUUGAAUUCGUUUACUUUUUAUACAUGUUCUUAAAUACUUUAUGUCACUAUGCUGUCAAUAAUCUCACCGCCAUGAUUGCGGCAUAUCCCUGUUCAACGAGGCAGAGCUGGCGAUAAUUCCAUUGGUUUCCAAAAUGUCGAAUCUGAAUAAUAUGAUAAUGGCAUUUUGUUUCUGUUUCUGGUUACGGAUCGAUGAUGACAAUUUUUUGAAUUUGCUUGAUGAAGUCUUGGGUUUUAUUCUUAUACUUUGGCCCAAAACUAUAUUUCUUCUGGUGGAGAUUAAUAAAACUCUGCCCGUAAUAUUUAAGGCUUCGUGGUGGCCCAAAUU
rnacentral:lncRNA from 1 species